rnacentral:rRNA from 1 species
CCUACGGGCGGCAGCAGUGAGGAAUAUUGGUCAAUGGGCGCGAGCCUGAACCAGCCAAGUCGCGUGAGGGAAGACGGUCCUAUGGAUUGUAAACCUCUUUUGUCGGGGAGCAAAAGACGCCACGCGUGGCGUUCCGAGAGUACCCGAAGAAAAAGCAUCGGCUAACUCCGUGCCAGCAGCCGCGGUAAUACGGAGGAUGCAAGCGUUACUCGGAAUCACUGGGCGUAAAGAGCGCGUAGGCGGGAUAGCAAGUCAGAUGUGAAAUCCUAUGGCUUAACCAUAGAACUGCAUUUGAAACUGUUAUUCUAGAGUAUGGGAGAGGUAAGUGGAAUUCCUAGUGUAGCGGUGAAAUGCGUAGAUAUUAGGAGGAACACCAGUGGCGAAGGCGGCUUACUGGACUGUAACUGACGUUGAGGCUCGAAAGCGUGGGGAGCAAACAGGAUUAGAUACCCUAGUAGUC